rnacentral:rRNA from 1 species
GACGAACGCUGGCGGCGUGCUUAACACAUGCAAGUCGAACGGACAGGCCUCUUUCGGGGGGUACUGGAGUGGCCAACGGGUGAGUAACUCGUGAGUAACUUGCCCUUGUCUAUGGCAUAACUUAAGGAGACUGGGGGUAAUACAUGCUAGGAGAUCCUGCUGCCUGGUGGGGGUUGGAGAGUUUCGGCGGUUGGGGAUGGAUUCGCGGUUUAUCAGCUUGUUAUUGGGGUGGUGGCUUACCAAGGCGUUACCGGGUCGACGGCCUGAGAGAGUGACCGGCGAUAUUGGGACUGAGAUACGGCCGAGACUGCUACGCGAGGCAGAAGUGGGGAAGAUUGCACAAUGGGUGGAAGCCUGAUGCAGCAGCGCCUUGUGUCGGAUGACGGCCUUCGGGUUGUAGAACGCUUUCGCUCAUGACGAAGCUUUGUGUGACGGUAGUGGGUAAAGAAGCACCGGCUAACUACGUG